UACGUAGGUGGCAAGCGUUGUCCGGAAUUAUUGGGCGUAAAGCGCGCGCAGGCGGUCCUUUAAGUCUGAUGUGAAAUCACGUGGCUCAACCACGUGCGGUCAUUGGAAACUGGAGGACUUGAGUGCAGAAGAGGAAAGUGGAAUUCCAAGUGUAGCGGUGAAAUGCGUAGAGAUUUGGAGGAACACCAGUGGCGAAGGCGACUUUCUGGUCUGUAACUGACGCUGAGGCGCGAAAGCGUGGGGAGCAAACAGG
rnacentral:ncRNA from 2 species